CGGUUCCCGGGUAACUUUUGCCCUUAUUGUAGCUUAGUUUGUGAAAAGUUCACCAAUGUUUUAUGUGGAUUUUUUGUAGUUAACAAACAAAUCAACGACAAGGAACGAGUUGCAGCUGCAAUGGAGAAUCCUAAUCUGAAAAAAAUUGUUGAAGAUUGUCUCAAAGAGCCAGAGUAAUUAUAAUAUAUACAGUGAACAUGAAUUUUACGACAUACAGUAUGACAUUGCCACAAAUUUAAAAACUGUACAUACACUGAGCGUAACAUUGUCGAACCUUUUGCAAAGGAGCUGACAUUCAACUGCUAAGUUCAAGGGAUUCAGAAACAAAUUAUUUCGUUUAAUUUGCAGUGUUUGGGAGAAAAAAGGCCGCCUUAGCUUCAUGCAAAUAGCCCAUAGUGAUUAUUCAGAUCUUGUGAUAUCAUACAGAUAAUAUUCAGUGGCGUAGCCAGCCCGACAAUUUAGUCCCGCUAUGCAAAUUCAAAAUUAUUAUCAUUAUUCAUUUCUUUAGAAAUUGAUUGUUUUCACAGUCAAUGGACAUGAAAAUAUUUGCAUAUAGCGGGACCAAAUAGUCGGGCUGGCUACGCUACUGAUAAUAUUUUACAGUUCUCUACUAUAUUCAGUUGUAAGCGAGUUUGGGAAAUGGCAACGUCAAUGAAGACGUGAUCAUCAACAGUAGAAUUUUACUCUGAGAGAAAGUGCGAUUAUAAAUUGUAUUCCCUAGAUCAUUCUAGUACGUCGUAUAGUUGUUCAAACUGCUACGUUAUUUGCACAUUUUCACGGUUCAUAACCACGCCAACAUUUAAAUGGUUCGGAGUCGUGUGAGGGUGUUUUAUGUGAAUGCAAUGAUUAUUGCUACUCAAGGGUUGUUUAAAAGAAAAUUAAGUACUUUCAUGAUGCAAAUAAAGUUUGAUAAUAGAGAGCUUAAGAUGUACAACGCGGCCGGCUCAACGACGCGCUUGCGAAAGAAAGAAAUUUGUCAUGCAAGACAAAAACUGUGAAUAAUUCGUUGUCCCAGGGGUAUUUUCAACAGCUUUGUCAUGCUCAGCACAACGUUAAACUAAGCAUUAUCAAGUCUUUCAUGCAACGUGAAAGCUUAUUGCGACCCAAGAGGUGUUACUUAAAGUCGAAAUUACAGCAAACAUUGCAUCGCUUUAGUCGAACUUAGCAGUUUGUAAUGUCAUUCGAAAAAUCUUCAAACAUUUAUUACAGUAAUAAAAUUGCUUAGCGCUCAUUCUUGAGCUGAAAUUCAGACCGCGUUGUUGAGCCGGCGCGUCGUAGAUCUUAAGCUCUAUAAUGUAUGCUUUGGCUGGAACAAAAAAAAAUGUGAGUCCAUUUAAAAAUGUGAAAUAGUAAUGGGCCUUAUGCAGGUUUCCGUCCAAUUUCCAGGAAUUUCAGUUACAAUACUGCAUGGACGUUUUAUAUGUUGUUUAUAUCAUUAUUAUGAGUGUUCACCAAACAUUUUGAAGCAAUAUGAGUUACAGCAUCUUGGAAAAUAAAAGUGCUGACGUCAGCAUUAUUUUCGAACGCCUUCAGAUACUGUGUUAUAACAAAAUUUGAUUUAAAAUUAUUGGUUAAGGUUAAGAAGGAAAACUUCUUACCUGAUAUAAACAAGAAUCUAAACAUUUUGGCCCAAACUCGCCUUUAUUUUAUAGCAUUUGAUUUUGGGAUAAAUGCUUGGUGGUAUAAAAUGGCUAAUUUUAUAGGGCCUACCACCAAACGCAACAUAUAAAACUAGGGACAUAUUUCAGUUGAGUUCCCUUCAAAUAAGGCUGAUCAGCCACUAAAAUGCAUGUCGUACAUGUCUAUAUACAUUUUUAUAGGAUGUAAAAUUAAAGUAAUUAAAAUUCCUGUGUUUCAUGCGAACUAAUUUGAGAAAGCUGUUGUGCAUGUAUUAAAGCAAGUCGGGCAAAAAUUGAAAAGUUGAAAGAUAAACACGAAACUCUCGAGAAAACUGGCAAGAAACACACAAAAUAGUUUCAGUGAUAAAUAUAGUUUCAGUGAAAAAGUAUAUGCUUUUUUCAUGAACAUGCUAGGAAACAAGCAUAUAAAUGAAAAGUUUAGGCCUGGGGUUUUGCCUUCGGCAAAAUCAGUUUCUUCGGACAACGACGGGUUCGUGUUCAGUUGCUUUGCCGAUCAAAAACACAUAUAAACUA